rnacentral:rRNA from 1 species
CCUACGGGAGGCAGCAGUGGGGAAUUUUGCGCAAUGGGGGCAACCCUGACGCAGCAACGCCGCGUGAGUGAUGAAGGCCUUCGGGUCGUAAAGCUCUGUCAGAGGGGAAGAAAUGCAGGUGGUGAACAACCAUUCUGUUUGACGGUACCCUCAAAGGAAGCACCGGCUAACUCCGUGCCAGCAGCCGCGGUAAUACGGAGGGUGCGAGCGUUGUUCGGAAUUAUUGGGCGUAAAGCGCGUGUAGGCGGUUUGUUAAGUCUGAGGUGAAAGCCCCGGGCUCAACCUGGGAAGUGCAUUGGAUACUGGCGGACUUGAGUACGGGAGAGGGAGGUGGAACUUCUGGUGUAGCGGUAAAAUGCGUAGAUAUCAGAAGGAACACCGGUGGUGAAGACGGCCUCCUGGCCCGCUCCUGACGCUGAAGCGCGAAAUCUGGGGGAGCGAACGGGAUUAGAUCCCCUGGUAGU